rnacentral:pre_miRNA from 1 species
AGAGUGAACUUGUAGCCAAGAAUGAUUUGCCGGUUUCGCAGCGCCGUGAAGGACAUUUACAUUGGAUGGCCGGCAAGUUAUUCUUGACGACAUUUUGUUCUCU